rnacentral:rRNA from 1 species
UCAGUCGACUCCUACGGGGAGGCAGCAGUGGGGAAUAUUGCACAAUGGGGGAAACCCUGAUGCAGCCAUGCCGCGUGUGUGAAGAAGGCCUUCGGGUUGUAAAGUACUUUCAGCAGUGAGGAAGGUGGGUAUGGUUAAUAGCAUAUUCAUUUGACGUUAGCUGCAGAAGAAGCACCGGCUAACUCCGUGCCAGCAGCCGCGGUAAUACGGAGGGUGCGAGCGUUAAUCGGAAUUACUGGGCGUAAAGCGCAUGCAGGUGGUUUGUUAAGUCAGAUGUGAAAGACCCGGGGCUCAACCUCGGAAUUGCAUUUGAAACUGGCAAACUAGAGUACUGUAGAGGGGGGUAGGAAUUUCAGGUGUAGCGGUGAAAUGCGUAGAGAUCUGAAGGAAUACCGGUGGCGAAGGCGGCCCCCUGGACAGAUACUGACACUCAGAUGCGAAAGCGUGGGGAGCAAACAGGAUUAGAUACCCUGGUAG